GAUGAACGCUGGCGGCGUGCCUAAUACAUGCAAGUCGAGCGAACAGAUAAGGAGCUUGCUCCUUUGAUGUUAGCGGCGGACGGGUGAGUAACACGUGGGUAACCUACCUAUAAGACUGGGAUAACUUCGGGAAACCGGAGCUAAUACCGGAUAAUAUUUAGAACCGCAUGGUUCUAAAGUGAAAGAUGGUUUUGCUAUCACUUAUAGAUGGAUCCGCGCCGUAUUAGCUAGUUGGUAAGGUAACGGCUUACCAAGGCGACGAUGCGUAGCCGACCUGAGAGGGUGAUCGGCCACACUGGAACUGAGACACGGUCCAGACUCCUACGGGAGGCAGCAGUAGGGAAUCUUCCGCAAUGGGCGAAAGCCUGACGGAGCAACGCCGCGUGAGUGAUGAAGGGUUUCGGAUCGUAAAACUCUGUUAUUAGGGAAGAACAAAUGUGUAAGUAACUGUGCACAUCUUGACGGUACCUAAUCAGAAAGCCACGGCUAACUACGUG
rnacentral:rRNA from 1 species